AACGCAUAUUGCGCCCUCUGGUAUUCCAGGGGGCAUGCCUGUCUGAGCGUCAGUGAAUUCCUCACUUUACCUUCCAAGGAAAAGUGGUAUUGGGUUAUGAAAUGUGUUUCUGACCCCAAAAGUAUAGGCGGUUAUGUUUGCCUGGUUCUCGGUGUGAUAGGUUCGUCCAACUCGCCUAAAAGCCAGCGCAACACCUCCAAUUCGACUAUUGUGUGUCGUGCACAUAGUCAACCCCACUGAACCCUUGACCUCAGAUCAGGUAGGGAUACCCGCUGAACUUAA
rnacentral:misc_RNA from 1 species